rnacentral:rRNA from 1 species
GAUGAACGCUGGCGGCGUGCCUAAUACAUGCCAGUCGAGCGAACAGACGAGGAGCUUGCUCCUCUGACGUUAGCGGCGGACGGGUGAGUAACACGUGGAUAACCUACCUAUAAGACUGGGAUAACUUCGGGAAACCGGAGCUAAUACCGGAUAAUAUAUUGAACCGCAUGGUUCAAUAGUGAAAGACGGUUUUGCUGUCACUUAUAGAUGGAUCCGCGCCGCAUUAGCUAGUUGGUAAGGUAACGGCUUACCAAGGCAACGAUGCGUAGCCGACCUGAGAGGGUGAUCGGCCACACUGGAACUGAGACACGGUCCAGACUCCUACGGGAGGCAGCAGUAGGGAAUCUUCCGCAAUGGGCGAAAGCCUGACGGAGCAACGCCGCGUGAGUGAUGAAGGUCUUCGGAUCGUAAAACUCUGUUAUUAGGGAAGAACAAAUGUGUAAGUAACUAUGCACAUCUUGACGGUACCUAAUCAGAAAGCCACGGCUAACUACGUG